GCGCCUGUCCCAAGUCAGGAGCCUCUGGCCUUUGUUAGUUUUGUAUUAUUUUAAUUUUAGUUUCUUGUGUACAAUUUGGAAAUUAGUAUGGCGUUCAUUAUCACUUAACUAGUAUAUAUUUGUUUAGGGGCCAGCUAAAGGACGCCUCCGGGUGCGGGAAUUUCUCGCUACAUUGAAGACCUGUUGGUGACCUUCUGCUGUUGUUUUUUUUUCUAUGGUCGGGUUGUUGUCUCUUUGGCACAUUUCCCAUUUCCAUUCUCAAUUUUAUUAU
rnacentral:lncRNA from 1 species